GACGAACGCUGGCGGCGUGCCUAAUACAUGCAAGUAGAACGCACAGUUUAUACCGUAGCUUGCUACACCAUAGACUGUGAGUUGCGAACGGGUGAGUAACGCGUAGGUAACCUGCCUUGUAGCGUGGGAUAACUAUUGUAAACGAUAGCUAAUACCGCAUAAUAUUGAUUAUUGCAUGAUAAUUGAUUGAAAGAUGCUAUUGCAUCACUACCAGAUGGACCUGCGUUGUAUUAGCUAGUAGGGGAGGUAACGGCUCACCUAGGCGACGAUACAUAGCCGACCUGAGAGGGUGAUCGGCCACACUGGGACUGAGACACGGCCCAGAAUCCUACGGGAGGCAGCAGUAGGGAAACUUCGGCAAUGGACGAAAGUCUGACCGAGCAACGCCGCGUGAGUGAAGAAGGUUUUCGGAUCGUAAAGCUCUGUUGUAAGAGAAGAACGGGUGUGAGAGUGGAAAGUUCACACUGUGACGGUAUCUUACCAGAAAGGGACGGCUAACUACGUG
rnacentral:rRNA from 1 species